AAAAUACUCCCUCCUUUCGGAAUUACUCGUCGAAGCAAUGAAUGUAUCUAGAUAUAUUUCAAUUAUAGAUACAUUCAUUUUUGUGACAAGUAAUACCGAACGGAGGGAGUAGGAA
rfam:Triticum aestivum genome assembly, contig: Triticum_aestivum_CS42_TGACv1_scaffold_222011_3B